UUUCCCGUGGCCGGCGGAGCCUCCCGCCGCUCCCCCAAAGCGUUCUUCCCCUAGGAAGUACAUAUGGAGGACAUACCACUUAACCUACGCCGGGGAGAAACUGGCAGAUGACAGAAAGAAGCUGAGAGAGUAUGGCAUCAGAAACCGGGAUGAGGUCAGCUUCAUCAAGAAACUUCGAAAGUAACGUGUCAGAGCGAGCAGAGAAUCCAGCCCUACCACAACCAAGCUGUGGACCGAGCACCUUCCUGGAGGAAAAGGUUGUAACAUUUCAAAGAGAAACAGAUUCCAGCUGAAGGGAUCUUCUCAGGUGUUUUUGCAGUUGCUGUUUGAAAUGUCUGCUUCCGAGCUGUACCUGGAACACACUCUCACUGAUUAAA